GGAGUCUGUCUGCGCCCGCGAGCUGCCGAAAUUGAUUGUAAUGGUUUUACCGCGCGCAGAGAGAGCUGGCUGUUUUCUCGCCUCUGCUGUCGGCUUUCAUCAACGCCCAGGCACAAGGAAGUGACUCCUCUUCGGGCAGGCGGCACUGGAUCCGAUGAAAGGCGACUUUUGUUUGUGGGCAUGCAGCAGGGACAGCGGGGACAGCAGGGACAGCGGUCUCCACUGCUGCUGCUGUCUGGAGCUCUCCUGGAGAGGGGGCUGCUCUUCCCCAGGGCCCAUCUCUCUUGCAUGAGAGAGAGAGGAAGACAGAGGGACAGACAGACACAGACCGACAGACAGACACUGACUCGGGCAAAUCUACCCCAAACAGCAGAGGUUGCUUUCCAGAGCCAGUUCUGGCCUCAUCCCUAAUGGCUUGAGUACUGGGGAAGAGGGAUCCAAGCAGGGAUGAAUGGAGAGAAGAGCUGAUGAUUGACAGUGGUGGCCAGAGGUGGGAAGCUCUGAGGCUUCUUUCUCCUGCCCCAGCUGGUCCUGUCCAAGCACUUGGGGUCGUUCUUUAAAUUCCUACAGCAACUCUAUGACGUAGGUGUGAUCGCUCCCAUUUUACAAUAGGGAAACUGAGGCAUCGAGAGGCAAUGGGUAGAGGAUGAAGGGCCACCGGAGCCGGGUCCUGCUGAUUCCUGAUCUGGUUCAUUCUCCAUACUCUGUUCCUACUUUCUCAAAUCUGGUGGGAUGAGUGGGUGUUACAGGGUUGAAAUACCUCAACUAUUGGGUAUUCCUCAAGUAUUGGGAAAUUGGGAGUGAUUCAGGCUUAAAAGAACCCAGAUGGAGCCCCCUCUCCCCCCACGGGGAAUAGGCGAAGGUCCGGUCCCACCUAAUAACUUGCCAGACUUUCUUCUUGUAACUUUACCUCUGUUCCCUGGGUUUCUGCUCCCUCUGUUCUCUCCACCCAGAAUUCCCAGAUCUGGCCUGGGCUGUGCCUGGUGAAAACAUAGACAGUCUUGCAACUCGACUUCCCCAAGGAAAACCGCUCCUGGUCGCAGCCAUCCUAGACUUCUGCAACACUUCUUCACAACCGUAUUUUCUUAGUCUCUGCCUUUUUCACUAACGUUAAUUCAACACCAAUUUGUCAAACUCUCGCAAGGUGCCCAUUUCCAUAUUAGAUUGAAA
rnacentral:lncRNA from 1 species